rnacentral:rRNA from 1 species
AGGGAAUCUUCCGCAAUGGACGCAAGUCUGACGGAGCAACGCCGCGUGAGUGAAGAAGGUCUUUGGAUCGUAAAGCUCUGUUGUUAGAGAAGAACAGCGCAUAGAGUAACUGUUAUGCGUGUGACGGUAUCUAACCAGAAAGCCACGGCUAACUACGUGCCAGCAGCCGCGGUAAUACGUAGGUGGCGAGCGUUGUCCGGAUUUAUUGGGCGUAAAGGGAGUGUAGGCGGUCUUUUAAGUCUGAUGUGAAAGCCCACGGCUCAACCGUGGAGGGUCAUUGGAAACUGGGAGACUUGAGUGCAGAAGAGGAGAGCGGAAUUCCAUGUGUAGCGGUGAAAUGCGUAGAUAUAUGGAGGAACACCAGUGGCGAAGGCGGCUCUCUGGUCUGUAACUGACGCUGAGGCUCGAAAGCGUGGGGAGCAAACAGGAUUAGAUACCCUGGUAGUCCACGCCGUAAACGAUGAGUGCUAAGUGUUGGAGGGGUUCCACCCUUCAGUGCUGGAGUUAACGCAAUAAGCACUCCGCCUGGGGAGUACGGCCGCAAGGCUG